rnacentral:tRNA from 2 species
CGGGGAUUAGCUCAGUUGGUUUAGAGCGCACGCUUUGGGAGCGUGAGGUCACCCGUUCAAAUCGGGUAUCCCCGACCA